UACGGAAGGCAGCAGUGGGGAAUAUUGCACAAUGGGCGCAAGCCUGAUGCAGCCAUGCCGCGUGUAUGAAGAAGGCCUUCGGGUUGUAAAGUACUUUCAGUCGUGAGGAAGGUGUUAAGGUUAAUAACCUUAGCAAUUGACGUUAGCGACAGAAGAAGCACCGGCUAACUCCGUGCCAGCAGCCGCGGUAAUACGGAGGGUGCGAGCGUUAAUCGGAAUUACUGGGCGUAAAGAGCACGCAGGCGGUUAAUUAAGUUGGAUGUGAAAUCCCCGGGCUUAACCUGGGAAUGGCAUUCAAGACUGGUUAGCUAGAGUCUUGUAGAGGGGGUAGAAUUCCAUGUGUAGCGGUGAAAUGCGUAGAGAUGUGGAGGAAUACCGGGUGGCGAAGGCGGCCCCUGGGACAAAGACUGACGCUCAUGUGCGAAAGCGUGGGGAGCAAACGAGGAUUAGAUACC
rnacentral:rRNA from 1 species